CACACACACACAUGCACACACGCACGCACGCACGCACGCACGCACGCACACGGACGCACGCACUAAAUUAAUACAUAAAUUAACUAAUAAUAAUUUUAAAAUGCUUUCCCCAGGUAAUUGUGAUUAUGGGGCCUUAAAGCAAAAUUGUACAUUUUUGUCUUUUGAGUACUAAUGAAAAACAAUUAAACUACAUGGCAAUUUUAUAUUUUUGGUCAUAUAUCUAUAUAAAUAUGUUCAUAAAAAGGACAUAUUUUUCGGUCCGUGUACGGAUCUGGUAAUUGGAUUUUCCGUUCUGAAACGGGUAUUGGAAAAACAAAAAACGAGUGGUUAUUUGAUUUUCGUUUUAAAAUACAAAAAUUAAAAUUGAAAUACAAGGCGUUUUUCCUUUUCAUGAUCAAAAAGGGAUAUACGAUUUUUUUUUUUAAAUGCUUUGAUUUUCGUUUUAUAUUUAGAAUAACAAGAAAGUAAAAUCAGUAAGAGACAGAAACGAAAAAAGGUCCGUUUUUUCAUUUUUUGAGACCGGAAGUGGUCAUCAGCAAGUGUGGAGCCAAACGACAACAAGAUUCUCAGAGGGCGGAGCCAGAGAGCAGUCAUUGGUCAGACCAUAGAUAAUAUAGAAGACAGCGCGCUAGCAUGUCUAGUCUGUGUGUAUCUAUGGUCGGCACGUCUGGUAGCAUCUCUGGCUGCUGUUGAUCUUGUUUUUGGAGUAAAACACGGUGGAAGCUGAAUUAGUGAGGAUGACUCCUGCUCCUGUCAUCUCUAAGCUCCUCACACAUCUUUACCUGCACAUGAGGAAAAUCACUCCUGUAGAAUGCAGGUAUGUUUGUCAUUAUUCUAAAAAGAUGUUGCCUGGUGACCUGUCAGAAACCCAUUAUACAGAGUCAGCCAAAAUAAUGUUUACACACAUCAGGAAAAGAAAAACUUGCAUAAAUAUUUCAAUACCAAAUUUAUUCAGACAUCACGAGAUUAAUAAAAGUUAUCUUUGGCCUCUACAAUUACAAGAGGUGUUCAAAGUGGUGGCCACUGGCUUCCAGACAUUUCUGUUGUGUUGUAGACGUCACUUGUUGAUGCUCCAUUCAUGAGGGUAGCGCCAUCUGUUGGGAAAACAUCGUACAACAGGACACAGUUAUCGUGAUUUGAUCAAACUUAGAAAGAGGAAUCUAUAUGUAUAGAAGUACUUAUACAAAUGAAAUAUUUAUAAAA